rnacentral:rRNA from 1 species
AUUGAACGCUAGCGGGAUGCCUUACACAUGCAAGUCGAACGGAGUGGCGAACGGGUGAGUAAUGUAUCGGAACGUGCCCAGUAGCGGGGGAUAACUACGCGAAAGCGUAGCUAAUACCGCAUACUAUUGGAGCGGCCGAUAGCGGAUUAGCUAGUGGGGGGGGUAACGGCUCACCAAGGCGACGAUCCGUAGCUGGUUUGCGAGGACGACCAGCCACACUGGGCCUGAGACACGGCCCAGACUCCUACGGGGGGCAGCAGUGGGAAAUUUUGGACAAUGGGGGAAACCCUGAGCCAGCCAGCCCGCGUGUUCGAUGAAGGCCUUCGGGUUGUAAAGCACUUUUGGCAGGAAAGCGGUACCUGCAGAAUAAGCACCGGCUAACUACGUGCCAGCAGCCGCGGUAAUUC